CACGCCUCCCCAGGUUUGGGGCGUGACAAUUUCUAUGCCAUUUUUAGCUGCUGGUUUUUGGCUACAGCAGUGUGCAGUGCGAUCGUAUGGAAUUGGCCGCGAUCGCGAUGAUUAAAAUGGGAAAAAAUGGCCAGUGAAUCACGAUCGCGGAAGGCCUUUCGCGAUUGCAUAGAGAAAUUUCGGUUGCACCGACCUGACUUUGGAAGCUUAUAUCUUACAAUCUAUAAGAAAUUUAGUGAUGAUACAAAAACGAAAGUUUUAGCCCUUGAUGUCUAGUUUUCAGAAAAUCAAACCAUUUAUCAUUUGGAGUUUUGUACCAAAAGUUAUGUCUAUUACACUACAUGCUGUUCGAGAAGAAUUUGGGAAGAGUAAAAGAAGUUUGUGCUUCGCGAUCGCGGGGAAAUGACGGUGAUCGCAUAGAGUACAAAUGUUAUGGAAAUUUUUGUGCUUCGCGAUCGCAAAGAAUUUGGGCAGAAGCUUUAAGUUCGGGUUUCGCCAUUUUUACCCAUUUUUGAAUUUUGGAGCUCGGUUUGGGCGACCUUAGAGAGGAAUUUUACCACACGACUUGGGUUUCGAAUCAUUUGGCUUGGAAUUGAGGAGAUAGGAAGGCGUUCGGAGGAUGAUACGCGUGGAAUGGAAUUUCUGGAGCAUUGAUUAGCUUGCUCGGCAUUAGACUCGGCUUGUUCGAGCCCGAGGGACUGGAGAGAUUGAUGACUGAGUGAGACUGAGGGCCUGAUUUUGAGGAUAUUUAUGGGAUCGGGCUACACGCCGCAGCAGGCCAUAUUGGCUUUAUGCAUGUUAUUAUUAUAUGGAUCGGGCUGCACGCCGCAGUAGGCCUUAUAGACUUUAUCAUCUUGGGAUCGAGUUGCAUGCCGCAGCAGGCCAGAUUGGCAUAUUAUAGCGUUUGGGCAGAAAGAGCCCCUCCGGAGUCUGUACACCCCUAGUGAGCACAGUUGAUUUAUAUUAUUAGCACAUGAGUUUUCCGUGCAGCACGUCAGUUGUUAGUGCGAAUCCAUCUAUUGAUAUCGUUAGCACGUGAGUUGUCCGUACGGAUCCAUCUAUUGAUAUUGUUAGCACGUGAGUUGUCCGUACAGAACGUGAGUUGUCCAUGCGGAUCCAUCUAUUGAUAUUAUUAGCACGUGAGUUGUCCGUGCAGUACGUGAGUUGUCUGUGCGGAUCCAUCUAUUGAUAUUAUUAGCACAUGAGUCGUCCGUGCAGUACGUGAGUUGAUACUAUAGCACAUGAGUUAUCCGUGCAACACGUGAGUUGUCCGUGAGGAUUCAGAUCUUGAUAAGUGAGAUUGAGUACUCUGAGCAUAUGAUUACAUGAGUUUAUCACUACGCUGCAUUGCAUUAGACAUGCAUACUUGAUAUGUAGGCAUAGAGUAGUAUUUUUCCCUCAUUCCAUCUGAUAAUGAAAAUUCUUAUCUGUUGCUAAAAAAUUUGAGAUAAAUCACAGAUUUCAGACUUACUCAUAUUUUCGGUGAUUUCGGCAAAAGAUUUAAGUUUUACUGUUAUACUUGAAAAGCAAACACCUAUUUCCGAAAUUGUAAACGAGCUGAGCAUUUUAUUGUUGAGUUAUUACUUGUGUUACUUUCAAUAUAUUGUUAUGAACUAUUGUUGGUUGUUGGUGUUGAGUUCUGAACUUUGUUUUAGCUCGACACUACUUUCAACCUAAGGUUAGGUUUGUUACUUAGUGAGUACAUGAGGUCGGUUGUACUCAUACUACACUUCUG